AAGAAGUCUUGGAAUUGUCUGUUUCCUCUAAGUGUCUAGAUGAACUUUUUUCUAUAUAUGAAUUUUUCUGUAUACAGAAUUAGGGCAUUAUGUUUAAGUGGUGAUUUGCGGAUAUGUGUCUGAUCUGCUCACUGGACCCUUACUUUUUCAGCAGCAGCUCGCUGGCCGUCAGCUCAUGGGUCAGGGGAGGUAAGAUGCUGGACCCCAGCUUGUCGGUGCGGCUGUCGUCCGGGCUGACUGCCAUGUGGUUCUUGCCUGCAGAGUUGUCCUGCGAGCCGAAGGACAGAUGCUCGAAGCUCACGGCCUUGCUGUAGGAGGGUGGGGCCUCCACAUCCCCGUCCAAGGUGGAGAACUGUGUCAGCUCUUCCUCUGGGGGCUUGUUGGAUGCCACGAUGGAGAGAACCCACUGCCUAAAACCCUCAUCUCCUGGUACCCAACGGAGCAGUGACUGGCGAGGGAAGAUGGCAGAUCCAGGCCUAGGAUGCUGCUGGAUGUCACAAUGUCACCAUGUCCUGGACAAAAUGAGGAGACAAUGACAAGAUAAAUUAGAAAAGCAUCGGACGAACACAGUGAGGACUGGGAUGCUGACAUUAACUGGCUGUUUGGUUUUAGAUGAAUCAGUGCCCCUUUCUGGGGCCCCAAUUUUAUGUUUCUGAGAUGAGGGGACUUUGCAUUUCUGUAUUUCAUUUAAUAUUUGCAGAGAUGCAACCCCAUAGCCUGUGCAGUCUCCUGCAGCUUUGCUCAGGUUUUCUUCAUGGGAACUGACGGUUCUAAUUCAAAGCCCUGUUUAUCUUGUUAACUCUUGGAUGGAGUUCUCAGAACCUACAUAAUCCCACACAGUUGGGUUCCCGGUAGGGCAACUAAUACGUCACACAAUCCAGGACAGUUUAAAAGUGAAUAGGAAGGGGAGGAAAUGUAUAAAAAUAGGCCCUGACAGUAGGCCCAAGGGGACGGCUGCCAUCACCUGCCUGACGGGCCCCCCCACUGCCAGCACCACAGGAACACACAGCAACCCCUCAGAGGACAUAUUUAAAAUAUUAACCACCUCCUACCUGGGAAUGCCCCUCAGAAUGUUAAUUAAUGUUUUCUGUGUUAUCUGAUUAUAUAAAGCAACCAUUAAAAAAUGUUUGCCAUUUUACAUCUGGAUUUGAAAGAAACCGUGACUAUUCUCGUAAGUCAAAGGGACUACAAAUCCACUUGUUAGGAUCCCACCCAGACUCUGUCUACUG
rnacentral:lncRNA from 1 species